rnacentral:rRNA from 1 species
UACAGAGGUCUCAAGCGUUGUUCGGAUUCAUUGGGCGUAAAGGGUGCGUAGGCGGCGCGGAAAGUCGGGUGUGAAAUUUCGGAGCUUAACUCCGAAACUGCAUUCGAUACUCCCGUGCUUGAGGACUGGAGAGGAGACUGGAAUUUACGGUGUAGUAGUGAAAUGCGUAGAGAUCGUAAGGAAGACCAGUGGCGAAGGCGGGUCUCUGGACAGUUCCUGACGCUGAGGCACGAAGGCCAGGGGAGCAAACGGGG